CGGGCACGGAGCACUGCCAUUGGUCAGCACCGUGAGUGAUGAUGUGUCGUGGCACCCUGGGUUGGGGGGUUGUUAGGAGAGGAGCGAGGUGCAGACUGAGUUGGAUGUUUGUUUGUGCCGUCUGUAAACGGGAGUGGGCUCCUUAUCCUCCACCCGCUAAAAUAGAGGCACUUGAAGCCGUCGAUAUAUAUAGAGAAAUAUAUAAACUUGGGGGUGUGGAGGUAACGCCUGAGCCGGGAGGGUUUACGAGUGAGCGAACAAUCGCAGGAAGUCGCUUCAAUCCGGCCGCCAUUUUCAGCCUUUGAAACUUUUAACCGACGGAGAAAGGCGACGUGUUCUUCUGUUAGCCGAGGCCACCCAGAGACUUUCCCCUCGCCACAGUUUCGGCCGAAAAAUUAGACGGGGGGGGGGGGAGGCGCGUUUUGUGUUGCAUGGUGACCGCCUCCUCCACUGGACGUCGCACCUCAGAUGCUGAGCUCGAGAUUUUAGCCACAGCUCGGAAGCGAAGGAGGCGGGAGGUAGCGAUGCACCCGUUACCUCUGCCCCGACCGCAGCCCGGCCCUCUGCCCGUCAGCGCCUCCAAGACCGUCGCCUCAAGCCGCCACCGUCACCACCACCAGCAGCAGCAGCAACAACAACAGCAGCAGCACCAGCAUCAGAGUAAGGCGGCCGUGGUGAGCCGGGGCUGGAAGAUCCGCUGCUCUUCCUCGGCCGGGCUGCUGCAGAGACACACGCACAGCCGUCCAGCGCUGCAACCCGGCUCCCGGAGCGGGGCUGGCGGACCGUCGGCGGCCGACAAAACGCCGUCAGCGACCGCCAGCUCUGAGCGCGCAGACGAGCAUAAGAAGGAAGGGAAGGUGACCAGAUUGAACAUGGGAAGAUCGGAUAAAGUAAUAGUUCCACACUCUCCAUUCAUGUAUAGUGUAAUUAAAGCAGAAGAGUACUGCCAACCCUUAAGUACCAAGAAAAGAAACAAGCGUAACCUUCAGUUGAGAAAAACUUCAAUAAAAAGAAAUGAAAACAACCAUAGUCAGAAUGCUCCCUCUGUUGAACGCUGCAACAUUCUCAAAAAAGAGGGGGGAAAGCCGAUUAUUUCUGGAAGCCCCUCCAAAAAUCUAAAAUUACUGAAAGUUGGUUUGAAGUCUGUACUGAGUCUUCAAGGAGAUCAGAACUAUGCUGGGCCAAAAUUCAGUGAGCCACCGUCUCCCAGUGUUCUACCUAAGCCACCCAGUCAUUGGGUAGGAGCACACGCUGAAUAUCCUGAUAAGAAUUCCACUCAAAUGCAUCCAAGCUUUUCACCUCAACUACUGCAUGUGCUCCUGAGAUCUGUCCAUGGUGGAUACUGUAUGCUGCCUGCUUUGCUGAGAAUUUUCUAUUUAUUUUUCAGAUUUCAAGCAUCUGCUAUAUUUAGCUUUUGUAUUAGUCUGCACUCUGAAAAGUAACAUCUGCAGUAAGGCUGCAAUGUGAACGUCCUCUGGUGAGCUGGUUCCUGUGCUAUCCUAUCCCACUGGUCCUAGCUUCUGCACACCUGUGUCCUAUGACUGACAGUGUGAAGACUCUUCCUCUAAUCUAGUCUUUAAGUGUGCAUGAUACCACUCUCUGAGUCAAUUCUUGUUAGGAUCAUGAUGGCACAUCUUAUAGAAAAGGGUGCCUUUUCCUCUAGUGCCAUAGGGGCUCAACAAUUUCUGCACCUGAAAUUAAAGAGAAGGGCAAGGGUUAGUUUUUAGUGUCACGCAUCAGCAAGAGAGAUGACUGGCUGCUGAAAGCAGCUAGUUAGUCAUGCAGAGUGUGAAGGUGAGAUAGAAACAAGAAGGAAAAACUGUUAAUAGCCUUAUGACUUGUUUUGAGAAUAUGCUUACCAGUAUUAUGAAGUGGUGAUGUUAUACAACGACAGUGCGAUAUGUGAGGAGUGAGGGUUACAAUUGCACAGAGAGUAGGAGAUAUGUGAGUAGAAUAAUAGGAACUGGAGUAUAUUGUAUUGCUGUGACCUUAGGAGAGUGAGGGGAACUGGAGAAUGGGAAUGCUGUGAACAGUGAACUUGCAAAUGAUUCACGAUGAUCACUUAACUUCUUUUGGCAAUGCAUCUGGAAGCUAAGACUUAGCAGCCUCAUUAAUCACCUCUUCGCACUACCUUCGAAAUCAUUGGUUGGAAAACUUUCUGCCACCUCUAAGUGAUCAGAAUCUUGUGGUGCACCUGCUCAAGCAUCUCCAAAGCUGCAUCAGAGAAUCCGGUUGCCCCACCUCCAGCUCCUUCAGCCAUGUCUCCCAGUUUCCAGCAUUUCCUAUAGUCAAAGUACUCCUCUCGUUUAAGAGGUACAGGCUGUUUUUAACUGGCAACAACAUCAUCAGAUUCCUCCCCCAGCUCAGACAGAUAUACAGCUAACAAACAGUUCUGGUAACAAGCAGUUGGCUAAAUGCCUGUCCAGCACAUACAUUUCAAGUGGUUUUUAUGGCAUGCAGCAAGAUCCUUAUCCCCAUGUGCUCACUUCCGGUGUGAUUGAAUUUCUUGGCCUCUAUUUUUAUCUUAAUUUUUGUACCCACUACUUUAGACGCACUUGUUUCAAGUUUAUUUUUUAAUAGUUUAUUAUGCUAAAAUUGAACCUAAUAGAAGUAUGAACUUUAUUUAAGGAAAAUAAUUUAUUAUAUGUUGUGAAAAGCCCCAGUAAUUACAAUCAUGCAUUUUAUCCUUCAGUUGCUCAUUGGAGAUUUCUUACAUCCAUUUAUUAAACUGCGUCAAAGGCUAAUGCAAGAGCAAUAGAAAAAUGAGUGUAGACUAAAAGUGAGGUAAUAAUUUGCAUAGGAUUUGUGUUAAAUUACCCUAGUUUCUAUUGAAAAAUUGGCCAAAGCAGGAUAGGGUGAUGAGGAGGUUGGUGCAAGUAGCUGUUGUUGCAAAAGGAAAAAAAUUUAAAUAAUCGAAGGUUUACCGAACACUGGAGAGUAUAUAUUGUGCUGCAGAAUUUAGGUCAUAAAGUUAAGCACAAAUGGAUCAGUAUGCUAAUUGCAGGCAUGUGGAAUAGGAUCAGAACAGGUCUUCUAUGGUUUUAAGUUAAGAAAUGAUAUACUGGGGCAACUAUUCCUUACAAAAAGUCAUUGAUAAUUCAUUUUCUCAUUGGCUGAUUGCCAUGCCAUUACGUAACUCCUGGAGCUUAUGGUCUUACAGUGUGUCAAUUACAAUUGAAGACCUUGGUCACAUUUUGCUGCUGAAAUGAUUCGGCAUGUUUUAGGGGCCAUCAUUUAAUUUUGUCAGAGUAUUUGAUUUUUAGUUUUUCUUUAGCAUCACUAAGUUAAAAUGACUUACCUGUUUGAGAAAUAUCAAAGAAUUUACAGCAUGGAAAUAGGCUAACUGGCUCAUCGGAGUUAUAUCAGCUCUCUGAAAGAAAUAUCCAGUUGGUCCCAUUGACAACUGCAUGAGUUCAAGAGAAUUGCCAGAACAGUCUCCCUAGAAUUGAGGCCGCUAUUCAAGUGGAUUCUAGCCUCAUGGAGAGUUAAGUGGAAGUUAUUAAUGGAAGUAAUCAUUUGCCACCAAAAAGGAACUGGAG